GCUACACAUCAUCCGAAUCUUGGAAUGGGACACUGAAUAAGAACAUAUAUGGACCUUCGUGUUUGCCUUGGAAUCAAACUAUCUAUAAAAACAGCACAUUUCCCGAUGGUUCUGCAAACGAUGCCAAAGAUAAUUGCAGAGAUCCAGAUGGAUAUGGAACACCCUGGUGCUAUAGUAUUAAUGCUAAACGGUUUAGAUGUGAUGUGUUUAAAUGUUUAGAUAUAACUGAAAAAGAAAAUGGAUCGUCUGGAUGCAUCGCUGUCACGAAGAAUAGCCAAGGGAUGACUGAACCACAACAAUUAAUUGGACAGCAAAUGCCGUGCAGCACCAACUUGAGUGGAAUAUACAUGCGUUUUGAGCCCAAUUUCGAGAUGAAGUUUUACGAAACAGCUGGCACAUGGACUGAUGUUCGAAACAAUGCUGAACAAUUUUCUUUUAAGUUUCCUUUAUCAACUGUGUUCGAAAAUAUUUACGACCAAUACAAGGGACUUUUCCAUUGGACAGGACUUUCAAGAAACA